UGCCAGCAGCCGCGGUAAUACGGAGGUUGCAAGCGUUGUUCGGAAUAACUGGGCGUAAAGCGGACGCAGGCGGCUAAGUCAGUCUGAAGUGAAAUCCCGGGGCUCAACCUCGGAAUGGCUUCGGAUACUGCUUGGCUUGAGUACGUGAGAGGAGAGUGGAAUUCCUGGUGUAGCGGUGAAAUGCGUAGAUAUCAGGAGGAACACCAAUGGCGAAAGCAACACUCUGGCACGUUACUGACGCUGAGGUCCGAAAGCGUGGGGAGCGAAAGGGAUUAGAUA
rnacentral:rRNA from 1 species